rnacentral:rRNA from 1 species
AUCUGUGAGAGAUAGUAGAGUGCCUUCGGGANCUCUGAGACAGGUGCUGCAUGGCUGUCGUCAGCUCGUGUCGUGAGAUGUUGGGUUAAGUCCCGUAACGAGCGCAACCCUUAUCCUUAGUUGCCAGCGGGUCAAGCUGGGAACUCGAGGGAGACUGCCGGUGAUAAACCGGAGGAAGGUGGGGAGGACGUCAAGUCUUCAUGGCCCUUAUGGGUAGGGCUACACACGUGCUACAAUGGUCGGUACAGAGGGCAGCGAAUCCGCGAGAGUGAGCAAAUCCCAAAAAACCAUUCCUAGUCCGGAUGGCAGUCUGCAAUUCGCCUGCU